rnacentral:rRNA from 1 species
CCUACGGGAGGCUGCAGUGGGGAAUAUUGCGCAAUGGGCGAAAGCCUGACGCAGCGACGCCGCGUGAGGGAUGAAGGUCUUCGGAUCGUAAACCUCUGUCAGCAGGGAAGAACGGUCACUGUGCUAAUCAGCAGUGAAUUGACGGUACCUGCAAAGGAAGCACCGGCUAACUCCGUGCCAGCAGCCGCGGUAAUACGGAGGGUGCGAGCGUUAAUCGGAAUUACUGGGCGUAAAGCGCUCGUAGGCGGUAGGUCAAGUCAAGGGUGAAAUCCCCGGGCUCAACGUGGGAACUGCAUUUGAAACUGGCAAACUGGAGUGUGGGAGAGGAUAGUGGAAUUCCAGGUGUAGGGGUGAAAUCCGUAGAUAUCUGGAGGAACAUCAGUGGCGAAGGCGACUAGCUGGAAAAUAACUGACGCUGAGGAGCGAAAGCGUGGGUAGCAAACAGGAUUAGAUACCCCUGUAGUC